rnacentral:hammerhead_ribozyme from 1 species
CACUACUGAGGAGUCCCAUACCAGGACGAAACGGCCGUCCAGUGG